rnacentral:rRNA from 1 species
UACAGAGGUCUCGAGCGUUAGGCGGAAUCACUGGGCUUAAAGCGUGUGUAGGUGGAUCGGUAAGUACCUUGUGAAAUCCCACGGCUUAAUCGUGGAACUGCUUGGUAUACUGCCAGUCUUGAGCCAGCUAGGGGCUACCGGAACAAAUGGUGGAGCGGUGAAAUGCGUAGAUAUCGGGAGGAACACCUGUGGCGAAAGCGGCGCACUGGACCAUAACUGACGCUGAGGCGCGAAAGCUAGGGGAGCAAACAGG